ensembl:snRNA U2 U2 spliceosomal RNA
AUUGCUUCUCGGCCUUUUGGCUAAGAUCAAGUGUAACAAACCUAUUGUACUUCCAGUUGUAUAAAAGCGUAGGACUUGUACUUAUGUAAAGUAUAUAAUACUAGAUAAUAAUAAGCAAUUACAUUACUCGUUUAUAUAUUUACUUAU